CGCUGGCGGCGUGCCUAAUACAUGCAAGUCGAACGGUCUUUCUAUGGAAGCUUGCUUCCACUGAGAAGAUAGUGGCGAACGGGUGAGUAACACGUGGGUAACCUGCCCAUAAGAGGGGGAUAACAUCCGGAAACGGGUGCUAAUACCGCAUAGUUUUCUUGAUCGCAUGAUCGGGAAAGGAAAGACGGCCUUUGUGCUGUCGCUUAUGGAUGGACCCGCGGCGUAUUAGUUAGUUGGUGAGGUAAUGGCUCACCAAGACGAUGAUACGUAGCCGACCUGAGAGGGUGAUCGGCCACAUUGGGACUGAGACACGGCCCAAACUCCUACGGGAGGCAGCAGUAGGGAAUCUUCCGCAAUGGACGAAAGUCUGACGGAGCAACGCCGCGUGAGUGAAGAAGGUUUUCGGGAAUCGUAAAACUCUGUUGUCAGAGAAGAACAAGUUGGAGAGUAACUGCUCCAGCCUUGACGGUAUCUGACCAGAAAGCCACGGCUAACUACGUGCCAGCAGCAGC
rnacentral:rRNA from 1 species